CAAGAGUAAAAGGUUUCUGAACUGUAACAACUGAAGGUCAAAGGGUAGGGGGCCAAGAGCUCUUCUACGAGGCCUGGGUUCAAGGCAGCUCACCACCUUUCCACAGGAUCCUAUGCCCUCUUCUGACCUCCUCAGGGUGUUGCCAGAGGAGGUCCAAAAAGGGUGUUGGAUCCCCUGAAGCUGGAGUUUCAAGUGAUUGCAAGUUGCCUGGUGUGGGGAGUGGGAACUGAACUCUGGUUGUCCGGAAGAGCAGUAAGUAUCCUUAAGAGCUGAGCCAUCUCUCUAGCCCCAAGUCAUUUCUUUUCUUUUCUUUUUUUUUUUUUUUUGGUUCUUUUUUUUCCGGAGCUGGGGACCGAACCCAGGGCCUUGCGCUUCCUAGGUAAGCGCUCUACCACUGAGCUAAAUCCCCAGCCCCGCCCCAAGUCAUUUCUGACAGCUUCCUGUCUGGCAGUCUUUCUGCAGCCUGGCUUUUGAACAUAGAAUAUGUAUACUUGGGACUCUCUAUACAUGCCAUUGUGCAAUGCCACACCAUUGGAAGCUGCCUGAAACACACCACACUGGAGACUACAGCAUGUUAUAAACUGCAGUGUUUUUACUGCACAAAGUUCUCUGCUCUUGUGAAGAAAAAAAAAAAAGGUUUAAUUACAGAAAACAAAGUUUAACCUAUUUUCCAAUCUCUCUUCCCAGCA